UCUCGAUUGGUCUAGUGGUAAGGAUACCUGCUUGUCAUUCGUUGGGGAUUGCGGGUUUUCACGAUACGUGGAUUGAGCAUCUAUCAAAUAACAAGCCGCAGGUGGCCGGGGUUCGAUUCCCCGAUCGAGAG
rnacentral:tRNA from 1 species